ensembl:lincRNA
CCACAAAUGCUGGCUGAAUGUCAACCAUGUGUUAGGCGUGGGCAAGAUACAAAGAUAGACAUAGGUAUUUGCCCCAGGAAACUCCCAACACAAUCUGGUAUAGUUCUGGUGUUAUGGGUGUUAUUUUUGAGACAGGGUCUUGGGAACAGCUGAAGCUGGAAAGUAAUUAUACAUGCAGGAUGAAGCCAGAUCGAGAACACAGGAGCUCCUUGAAGCAUGUAAACAAACCGUUGUAGCUUGUUAACUGAUUGCUAGGCAGAGAGGCUGAAGUUAACCUUUCGAGGGUGUCAGAGAAAUGCUCUACUGUUCUUGGGCAGUUCCCCUGCUCUGCUCAGGAGAGAGAGGAUCUCCACCUGAUACCAGCUUUUUGUCUCUUGUCUAUUUUUUCCUCAUUCUCACUGCCGUUCCUUCCCAGGGUACAGCAAAAACCCAGUGGAUCUGUACAGGGCUCACUAGGCAGUUCAGGCUGGCCUCAAAUUCCCAGCAGUCCACCUGCCUCACCCUCCCAAGUGCUGAGAUUAUAGGACUGCACCAUCAUACUCAGCAGGCCGAGCUUCUUAGACACAGCAAAGGAUGGCCACACUGCUCCUCAGGCUCAGUUUCUGAAAACAGCUUACCACGAGAGCCCUUCCAGAGGGAGCAGGUCACAACACGGUGGAGCCCAGUUCAGUCGCCUUGAAGCCCCUCCAGGUCACUCUGAGGUGACACACAGCCCAUCAAGUCAGGAAAUGGGCUGCAAGUGUUGGUGGCCAUAUCACUUUCAAGCCAAAGCCUUUGAGAACCAAAGUUGGACCCCCUCUCCAGCUCCCUUUCCUUCUGCCCUGGCAGCCAGUAACAUCCAGGUAGGGACCAGUCCACCACGCUGGGUUCCUGCAUAUGUACCCGGAGCACAGCCCACCCUGCCAACCCACAGCAGCUCUCAUGAGCAAGAAAUAAACUUUCGUGUAUUGAGACCUUGAGACUUUGACUUUGUUUUGAUGCAACAAAGCUCAGUGUAGCCAUACUGAUACAAAUCCUUCUGGUCAUUGUUUUGAAUCUCUGAUUAUGUGCCGUGUGUGUGUGUGUGUGUGUGUGUGUGUGUGUGUGUGUGUGGUGUGACUGAAAAAUACAAUGAAUGCUUUUUAAAAAAAUUAUCACAGUAAAUGACACAUUGCCACUAAUCCCCCUCAAAAUAGUCCCCUUGCUUCAAACACCCUAGUCCACUGUUCUUGCUACUGUCUGAAGCAGUUUUGCAAGCUGAUUCAAAAUGUUUACCUUUCCCAGUCAUUCUGAGUUUGGUGGAGAGCCAGAAGCAGCACGAUGCCACAUCCGGUGAAUAAGGCGGAUAAAAGCACAUCGUAAUGUGUUUACGAGCUGCCUUUUCACAUGGCACACAGCAGCAGCAUUCACAGUUUUCUAUCACUCUCAUAAAGACAUUCAUGAAAGAGGACUUUCAGAACUGCUUCAGAAAAUGAGAAGGACAAUGAGAUAAGGGUGUUUGAAGUGAGAGAGAGUCUUUUGAGGGAGGUUCACAGCUAUGUGCCUUUUACUGUAGUGAGGUUUUUCCCCCAGCGGAGGUCUUGGAUUGAGAAUUUGAGAUCAUGCACCGCCACACCCUCCUGCCACUUGUCCAGCUCCUGUGGAAGUGGCUGUGCUUGACCUGGGUUGGCUGUGAACCACUCGCUCUCAGAAACACGCUGAUAGGGUCCCUGCGUACCAGCUGCUCUGCUGUCCCAGCAUAUGAUGUAACUGCCAGGUAACGUGGUGGGAUGCUGGUGUGAUAAGUUUUUUAAACUUAAACAUUCAGUGUAUAUUUUGAUCACAUCUUCAGGCCAUAUGUAUGCACAUGUUUGUACACUAUACAUAUGAUAUUGUACAGAGGCGGACAAUUAUAUAUAUGCAGUCUAUGAAUGCAUAUACAUAACAUAUACUAAAUAUAUAGGUAUAUAUAUACUAUAUGUGUAUAUAUGUACUGUAUGUAUUUGUCAGAGUAAAUAUAUCCAUACAUUGUAUAUUAAAUACAGUCAUCCCUUCCUGUAUCUGCAGAUUCCAUGUCUAUGGAUUCAACUAACCUUGUACUGAAAAUACUUUUUAACAAAUGCAUAUCUAUGGAACAUGUACAGACAUCUUUUCCUUGU